rnacentral:rRNA from 1 species
UGGGGAAUAUUGGGCAAUGGAGGAAACUCUGACCCAGCGACGCCGCGUGAGGGAUGAAGGCCUUCGGGUUGUAAACCUCUUUCAGCAGGGAAUAAGCGAAAGUGAAGGUACCUGCAGAAGAAGCACCGGCUAACUAUGUGCCAGCAGCCGCGGUAAUACAUAGGGUGCAAGCGUUGUCCGGAAUUAUUGGGCGUAAAGAGCUCGUAGGUGGUCGAUCACGUCGGAUGUGAAAUUCUGAGGCUUAACCUCGGACCUGCAUUCGAUACGGGUUGACUAGAGUGUGGUAGGGGAGACUGGAAUUCCUGGUGUAGCGGUGGAAUGCGCAGAUAUCAGGAGGAACACCGAUGGCGAAGGCAGGUCUCUGGGCCAUUACUGACACUGAGGAGCGAAAGCGUGGGGAGCGAACA